UUGGAGGGCAAGUCUGGUGCCAGCAGCCGCGGUAAUUCCAGCUCCAAUAGCGUAUAUUAAAGUUGUUGCAGUUAAAAAGCUCGUAGUUGAAUUUCGGGAUCAGUAUGUUGGUCGUGCUUCGGUACGUACUGUCAUUACUGGUUUCUCCCUUCUGAAGAACCUUGAUGUCAUUAAUUUGGUGUCUUGGGGAAUCAGGACUGUUACUUUGAAAAAAUUAGAGUGUUUAAAGCAGGCAUACGCUUGAAUACAUUAGCAUGGAAUAAUGAAAUAGGACGUUUGAUUCUAUUUUGUUGAUUUCUAGGAUCGACGUAAUGAUUAAUAGGGAUAGUUGGGGGCAUUAGUAUUCAAUUGUCAGAGGUGAAAUUCUUGGAUUUAUUGAAGACUAACUACUGCGAAAGCAUUUGCCAAGGAUGUUUCCAUUAAUCAAGAACGAAAGUUAGGGGAUCGAAGACGAUCAGAUACCGUCGUAGUCUUAACCAUAAACUAUGCCGGCUAGGGAUCGGAUGAUGUUAAUUUUUUAAUGACUCAUUCGGCGCCUUACGGGAAAC
rnacentral:rRNA from 1 species